rnacentral:rRNA from 14 species
AAAACGACUCUCGGCAACGGAUAUCUCGGCUCUCGCAUCGAUGAAGAACGUAGCGAACUGCGAUACUUGGUGUGAAUUGCAGAAUCCCGUGAACCAUCGAGUCUUUGAACGCAAGUUGCGCCCGAAGCCAUCCGGCCGAGGGCACGUCUGCCUGGGCGUCACGC